rnacentral:rRNA from 1 species
UUGUAGUCUGCAACUCGACUACAUGAAGCUGGAAUCGCUAGUAAUCGCGAAUCAGAAUGUCGCGGUGAAUACGUUCCCGGGUCUUGUACACACCGCCCGUCACACCAUGGGAGUCAGUAACGCCCGAAGCCGGUGACCCAACCAGUUCAGGAGGGAGCCGUCGAAGGUGGGACCGAUAACUGGGGGUGAAGUCGUAACAAGGUAGC